UAUCCGGUACGGAUCGCCACCUUCGUCGGGAUGAAGGUCACAGCCUUGUGUGUUGUUAUUGGAUCCGGUGACGACAUUCACACUCUGGAAUUUUAGAUCCCACAAAAUCUCAGCAAUUUCAUAAUUCUCUCACAAAUUCGAAAAAGGAUUCAAUUUUUUACCUUCCUUUCUCAAUCUCCAGCUUCAAAGUCUCAAUUUCGUCUCUAAUGGCUUCGAUUUGCUUCGACUCGUCAGAGCGAGCCCUCUCAAUCUCUCUUUGCAUCGUCUUCAACUCGAUCGCGAGCUCCAUCCACGACGUGCUCAAAUCCUCGAUGUCGUUCCGGACCAGAGUCAACUCGGCGUUCAUGGCGUCCAGGUGGCAGAGCUCGUCGUCCAGCUUCAACGACCUGUCGUAGACCUCUCGCACGUCGGCGUUCCUCUCGGAUUAUGGCGACGACCUUCAGGUUACGGAGGUCACUCUGAGCGGCAGUGAAAAACCAGCCGUGAAAAAAAGCUCUGGAAUUCCUUCAAGCUCGUGGGAGGGGCUUUGGAGGUAGUAGACUGGACGACAGGGACGUACCAGAUUUUUUUUUUUGGGGGCGGGGGAAUUUUAGGGGUUUCUUGGUGUCGAAGAUGAGCUUGGGGAUGGCGGUGAGGAUCGAGACGGCGGCUGCGCUGACGUCAGGGUCGGGGAAGUCGAGAUCGGUGAGGAUGCCGGUGCAGACAGUGUCCCAGAGGUCGGCGGUGAGGCGCGUGGAGCAGAUGAGGUCGAAGGCGAGCUUCUUGCAGACGGCGGAGGCGACGAUAUCUUCGAUGGCUGACUUGGCGAUGACGGAGAUGUCACGGCCAGCGGCGGAUUACUGAAGGGAGAGAGAGAAGGACGCGCAGCCAGGAGAGAGGG
rnacentral:lncRNA from 1 species